rnacentral:rRNA from 1 species
UACGGGGGGGGCAAGCGUUGUUCGGAAUUACUGGGCGUAAAGGGCUCGUAGGUGGCCAACUAAGUCAAACGUGAAAUCCCUCGGCUUAACCGGGGAACUGCGUCUGAUACUGGCGAUCUCGAGUCCGGAAGAGGUGAGUGGAACUCCUAGUGUAGAGGUGGAAUUCGUAGAUAUUAGGAAGAACACCAGUGGCGAAGGCGGCUCACUGGUCCGGUACUGACGCUGAGGUGCGAAAGCGUGGGGAGCGAUCCGG